ACGUAGGUGGCGAGCAUUAUUCGGAAUUACUGGGCGUAAAGGGUCCGCAGGGGGUUUACUUAGUCAGAUGUGAAAUUUCAGGGCUUAACUCUGAACGUGCAUUUGAAACUGGUAGACUAGAGUAUGUGAGAGGUGAGCGGAAUUUGUGGUGUAGCGGUGGAAUGCGUAGAUAUCACAAGGAAGGCCAAAGGCGAAAGCAGCUCACUGGCACAAUACUGACCCUCAGGGACGAAGGCUAAGGUAGCGAAAAGG
rnacentral:rRNA from 1 species